rnacentral:lncRNA from 1 species
UACUCCAGCUUUCUUUUCAUUCCCAUUUGCAUAGAAUACUUUUUCCACCUCUUUAAUUUGUGUGUCUUUAGAUCUAAAGUGAGUCUCUUACAGGCAUCAUAUAAAUGGCUCUUGUUUUUUAAAUCCAUUCAGCUUCCUUCUUUAUGACUUUCUUUCUUUUUUUUUUAGGGCCACACCAGCAGCAUAUGGAAGUUCCCAGUCUAAGGGUUGAAAUGGAGCUGUAGCUGCCAGCCUAUGCCACAGCCACAGCCACAUCCAUGCCAGAUCUGAGCCAUGUCUAUGGCUUACACUGUAGCUCACAGCAACACCGGAUCCUUAACACACUGAGUGAGGCCAGGGAUUGAACCUUCAUUUGUCAUGGAUACUAAUUGGGCUCCUUACUGCUGAGCCACAAUGGGAAAUCCAAGCCUCUUGGUGACUUUCAAUUGAAGCAUUUAGUCUAUUUACAUUUAAAGUAAUUAUUAAUAGAUAUGAACUUAUUGCCGUUUUGUGAAAUUUUUUGGGGGGGUUGUAGUUCUUUUUGUGUGUUUCUUCUUCUUUUGAUCUCUUCCAUUGUGAUUUGAUGGCUCUCCUUAGUGUGGUGUUGAAUUCCUUUUUCUUUUGUGUGUGUUUAUCUAUUACAAACUUUGGUUUGUGGUUACUAUGAAGUUCAUCGUAGCAAUUACAUAUAUACAUGAUCAGUUUAAGUUGAUCUCUUUAAUUUCAAAUGCAUUCUAACAACCCUGUAUUUUUGCUGUGCAGCCCACCACAUUUAUUGUUUUUGACAUCAUAUUUUACAUUUUCACAUGUUUUGUUUUCCUUGCUAGGUUGAGUAUUCUUGGUUGGAGGUCUUUUCUCUUUCAUCACUUUAAAUAUAUUGUGGUACUCUCCUCUGGCCUGCAGAGUUCCUGUUGAAAAGUCAGCUGGUAGUAUUAUGCAACUUCUCUGUUUCUUUUCCCUUGCUGCUUUUAAUUUUCUGUCUUUAUCUUUGAUUUUUGCCAUUUUAAUUACAGUGUGUCUUGGUGUGGUCCUCUUUGGGUUAAUCCUGUUUUGGACUCUCUGCACUUCUUGUGGGUGACUGCUUCCUUUCCCAGGUUAGGGAAUUUUUCAGAUAUUAUGUCUUAAAAUAUGUUCUCUUCCCCUUUCUCUCUCUUCUAUUUCUUAGUCCCCUAUAAUGUAAUGUUAGUGCACUUGAUGUUGUCCCAGAAGUCUCUUAAACUAGACUCAGUUUAUAAAUUCUUCAGGUUUUUUUUUCUGUUCAGCAUCAGUGAUUUCCACUACUCUGUCUUACAGCUUGCUGAUCCAUUCCUCUGUAUCAAACAGUGUACUGUUGAUUCCUUUUAGUGUAUUUUUAUUUCAAAUAUUUUGUUCUUCUACUCUGUUUGCUUUUUCUUUAUAUUUUUUGUUUGUUAAACUUCUCACUUUGUCCAUCCAUUCUUCUCCUGAGUAUAUUGAGCAGCUUUGUCAUCAUGGCCUUGAAGUCUUUAAUCAUUUGGACUGCUUAUCUUUACUUCACUUAGUUCUAAUGAAGCUUUAUCUUCUUUCUUUGUUUUGAACAUACUCCUUUGUUGCUUCAUUUUGCCUAACAUUCCAUUUUUAUUUGUAUGUAUUAGGUAUGUCAAUUACAUUUCCCAGUUUUCUGGUAGUGGCCUCAAGUAGGAGAUAUCCCAGCAGCACACUCUCUUCUGGUCAUCAGAGCCCUAUGAACCCGGAGUGCUCCUUAUGUGGGCUGAGUUAGCCUUUCUUUGUGGCAGGGUUGACCACUGUGGGUGCACUUGGAGAUGGUGUGACUCCCUAGCCUGCUCAGCUGCCAGCCCUGCUGGGUGAGGCUGGGUCCUGGGGAUCCACUGGUGGAUGGAUCCAGAUCCUGAGGCAGCCAGGCAAAGAUUGGAGGAACCUUCAGCUGGUAUCAGCUGCCUGGUGGAUGAGACUGGGUCACUGCACAACUGACUUCUGGGGUUGGGGGUCUCAGGACUGGUGCUGGGCUGAGGUUGGGUGGGUAAGAUCUCAGUGGUAAUAAACUGGAGGGAGGAUUCCAAAAUGGUCCUUGCCAGCACCAAUGGCAUGUUAGAAUGAACUCCCCCAAAUGCCUGCUGCUAGUGUUUAUUUCCCUAGGGUGAGCUUUCAUUGCUUUCUGACUCUCCAAGAUCAGCAGUUGGGUCUAACCCAGCUUCUUUCAAAUGACUGCUUAUGCCCUGCAUCCUAGAGGGUGUGGUGGGGUUUUGUGCAUGCCCUUUAAGAGUGGAGUCUCAUUUCCCACAGCCCCAAGGCUCUUCUGAAGUUAAGCCUCUCUGCCUUCAAAGCCAAAUGUCCUGGGGUCUUGUCUUCCUGGUGCAGGACCCUCAGGAUGGGAAGCCUAAUGUGGAGCUUGGACCCCUUGCUCCUUGGGGAAAACCUUGCAAUUGUUAUUAUCUUCCUGUUUAUGGGUCUUGAUGAUACCAUAUCUCUGCUGCUUCUACCCAUCUCGUUGUUCCUUCUUCAUAUCUUUCAUUCUAGAAAAUCUUUUCUGCUUGUCUUCAGGUCAUUCUCAUAGAUAGUAGCUCUGUAUAUGGUUGUCAUUUUGAUGUACCCAUAGGAAGAGGUGAGCUCAGGGUCUUCCUACUCCUCCACCUUUGCCACUCCAGUCUGUGAUUUUUAACCUGGUAGGUAUGUGUACACCUUGCCUCACUAAACAAGUUGCAUAGUAUAUAAAAGAAUGAAAAGAAAUGUGUUCCUUUGUACUUCUGUCUAGAUGCUAUUCAAUCAGUUCAAACUGAUGGAAAGAUUUAGGUUUUUGGAAAAGAUACAGCAAUUCAAAAUCAUGUUUGUUAAAAUACCAUUUCCUGUAGAGCUGUAAUGCUGUCCAUGGGGAUUACUUUUCCUACUCAGGCAUCUGAUGUUUCGACAAUUUUUUUUUCAUAGAAAUGACCACUAACAUCAUUUCAGAUCAACUACAGUGGAAUUAACUUAGGUUGCAGAGUCUGGGAUUUCUCACAUGCACAGAUACCACGUGACACAGUGGCAGCAGCACAGGACUUGCUCAGGAUGUCCUUCUCAGGGGUGGAGUUCUGUGCCAAGGUUUCAUCCCUUCCCAUACCCUGACCAUCUUUUGUGAGGAAGGGGCACCAUGAGAGUAAAGGCCAUGUUCAUGAAUAUAGGCCCUUCUUCUUGGUGUGGUGUGUUACACAUUACUGCUCUCCCUCUUUCCUUGAGCUUUUGACAAUGCUGGGUUCACCUGGUCCCUGUAGUAGGGUAGGAAAAAUGGCCCAGGUCACAGAAGCUGCAUGAAACCUGCCUGAAACUUUCCCAUUUGGGGAAUGAGCACCAUGCUGUCCCUAGUUUGGAUGCAGGUGAUGCAGGUGGCCGUUCAGGAGUGUGCUGGGGCUCAGCCCUCCAAAGAGCUGAGCACAGGUGCACACAGGGGAUGGGAAGUGUCAGAGUGACCUUGCCCCGGAGUGUUGGUAAGGAAUGAGGAGGAGGAACAAUGAUUGUCAAGAGCAAGAGUGAAAGGUGCAUGCACGUAUUCUUGGUCUCUCAUUUGUGAGCAGUAAGGAGGUGAGCAAAGAAGACAGGCCCUCAGAGGAAAUGCACGCUUUCCCUCUGUGCCCCCAGGACUGUGGGCACUAAUGGAGAGCACUUCAUUCUCGUGGGGGCUUUCGGCCGUUCAUGCACCUGGCACCUCCUAAGCUCUACACUCUCUGUCUGCUCAAUGUCUCUGUCCAGCCCUCCUCCUCCUGACUAGCCUGCCCUGGUGGAGCGUUCUCACCAGCUGUCCCUUGUUCUUCUCUUUUGUCUCCUCUGCUCCCUGGACACUUUGCUCCAGGAGCUAUUUUCUUUGUUUGUAUCUUUAAUUCUUUUCGCUCUCUCUUCAGGCGUGCACCAUAUUUUGCCCAGGUUGUUUCCUUAAUGUCCUAAUUGGCUUUCCUGUGUGAAAUGUUCUCUCACUUCCAUAUUGACUUCACACAAGUCCUGACUGCAGCUGUCAUUCUGAAGGCGGUUCUGAGUUCAUUGCACUUCUUUUCAAAACUCUUGUGUGGGUCCCAGGUGCCUGCAGAACAAGCCUCCUCAACUAGUGCUGUGGGUCUUCCAAGGUUUUCCUGCAGCCUCCCUCAGCCUCACCUGCCCACUGUGUUCCCAGAGAUGUGCUGUUUUGGUCAUGGUGAACUAACUGCCCUGCCCCUGCAUUCACUUAUAUCCCUCUGCUCAGCCUGAUUCUUUCUUCGGUUGACUAGUUUUUCUUCCUGUAAAGAUGGUAUUUGCUCUUCAAGGCUCAUGUUGAUGCCUUCCCUCACUCUCCAAGAUACCACCAGCAUUCAGUCAAAAUCUUUUUUCAGCUACUGUUGCAAUAAAAACAGACAAGAUGUGGAGUUCCCUGGUGGCUCAGUGGGGUGAGGAUCUGGUGUUAUCACUGCUGUGGCUCAGGUCACUGCUUGAGUGCUGGUUCAGUUCCUGUCCCAGGAACUUCUGCAUGCUUCAAGCAGAGCCAAAAAGGAAACAAACAAAAAAACAAAACAGGACAAAGAAAACCUCUCAGUGUGAAGUUCCUGUUAUGGCUCAGCCGGUUAAGAAACUGACAUAGUGUCCACAAGGAUGCAAAUUCAAUCCCUGGCCUCACUCAGUGGGUUAGUGAUCCAGAGGUGAUGCAAGCUGUGACUUAGGUCAAAGAUGGUGGUUGUAUCUAGCAUUGCUGUGUAAGCCAGCAGUUCCAACCCCAGUUCAGCCCCACCCUGGGAACUUUGAUAUGUCGCAGGUAUGGCCAUAAAACAAAACAAAAGCAAAACAACACAAAUAAAAUCCAAAACAAAACAGAAAAACCUCUCAAUGUAUGUCUGACCCCAUACAUUUUAUAACUUCUCCUGGAGUUCACUGCUAAGGAGCUGUGCUCUUUUUGACUUGUUCUACAAUUUUCAGGGGUUCAGUGCACCUGGAAGAGGUUUGCAAAGUUCAGUUAAAAGAAAAUAAUCUUCAAACUGGAAAGGAUGUAAUUCAGUCAUUUAUUUUUAAAUACAAGGGUCCUACCCCACAACAGUCAUGAGUCUAGGGUCCUAAAAAAGUGUCUGUGUGAGCACAAAGCCAGAAUCCGUGAUAUUGGAUAAAUUAUGGAAAAUAAGACAGGUGCUGGAUGAGGAUGAGUAAAUGCUUCCUUGAUUUUCAAAAAGGACGUAAGUCAGAGAAAUCAAAGUUCGAUGAUUCUCAGUGAUGCCUCUCAUACAGUUUGGUAGCUGCUCCAUGAUCCAUAGUUGGAAAGUGGUGGUCUCAGGAAACCAGCAUGGGCUCUGUAAUGCUCCUCUUGGAGAGAAACGUCGAGGAUGGGAGCUGGCUUGAGUGCUACAGAAAUGUUGGAGUUCUUGUGUUGAAUAAGAGAGGGAGGUAGAGGAGAGCAAGUGACCCUCAGUGUAAAAACACACCUGACAGCCCAGCCACUCCUUGCUGGCUGGCACCAUAAAGAGCCCCCUGUGCUUCUUGCUGCUUGGUAGUUAAAUGUAAGGGACGACAUAUCAGGUCACACACACUACGACCCUGAAUCCAGCUCACAGGUACAACCAUGGUAUGAAGAUGUCAGAAGGAGCUCUUCAUAGCACUGAGUUCAAUUCUCCAACCAUCAAAAUCAGCUUUAUAACUCAACUCUGAGUAAGGCCCACUCUUGGAUAGUUCAUUGCUCUGUCAGGAAAGCACAGAUUUUUUCUUUUGUCAGAACUGUAUUCCUGUUUUAAAAUAAAUAUCAGGAGUUCCAACUGGGGUGUAGUGUGUUAAGAAUUCCUCUGAAGUGGCUUGGGUCACUGCAGAGGUGCAUGUACGAUCCCUGGCCCAGUGCAGUGAGUUAAGGAUCCAGCGUUACUGUAGCCGUGGCAUAGGUCACAGCUGUGGCUCAGAUUCGAUCCCUGGCCUGGGAACCUCCCAUGUGCUGUGGGUACAG